GACGAACGCUGGCGGCGUGCUUAACACAUGCAAGUCGAACGGAAAGGCCCUGCUUUUGUGGGGUGCUCGAGUGGCGAACGGGUGAGUAACACGUGAGUAACCUGCCCUUGACUUUGGGAUAACUUCAGGAAACUGGGGCUAAUACCGGAUAGGAGCUCCUGCUGCAUGGUGGGGGUUGGAAAGUUUCGGCGGUUGGGGAUGGACUCGCGGCUUAUCAGCUUGUUGGUGGGGUAGUGGCUUACCAAGGCUUUGACGGGUAGCCGGCAUGAGAGGGUGACCGGCCACAUUGGGACUGAGAUACGGCCCAGACUCCUACGGGAGGCGGCAGUGGGGAAUAUUGCACAAUGGGCGGAAGCCUGAUGCAGCAACGCCGCGUGCGGGAUGACGGCCUUCGGGUUGUAAACCGCUUUCGCCUGUGACGAAGCGUGAGUGACGGUAAUGGGUAAAGAAGCACCGGCUAACUACGUG
rnacentral:rRNA from 1 species